rnacentral:rRNA from 1 species
AGAACGAACGCUGGCGGCAGGCCUCAAACAUGCAAGUCUAGGGGGUGUAGCAAUACAUCACCGGCGGACGGGUGCGUAACGCGUGGGAAUGUACCUAUUGGUUCGGAACAACUGCGGGAAACUGCAGCUAAUACCGAAUGUGCCCGCAAGGGGAAAGAUUUAUCGCCAAUGGAUCAGCCCGCGUAGGAUUAGCUAGUUGGUGAGGUAAUGGCUCACCAAGGCUCCGAUCCUUAGCUGUUCUGAGAGGAAGAUCAGCCACACUGGGACUGAGACACGGCCCAGACUCCUACGGGAGGCAGCAGUUGGGAAUCUUGGACAAUGGGGGAAACCCUGAUCCAGCCAUGCCGCGUGAGUGAUGAAGGCCUUCGGUUGUAAACUCUUUCGACGGGGACGAUAAUGACGGUACCGUAGAGAAGCUCGGCUACUUCGUGCCAGCAGCCGC